AGACGUCUACAUUAGAUACCCCUGUAGUCCCAGCCGUAAACUAUGCGCGUUAGGUGUAUCGGUGACCACGAGUUACCGAGGUGCCGAAGGGAAACCGUGAAACGUGCCGCCUGGGAAGUACGGUCGCAAGGCUGAAACUUAAAGGAAUUGGCGGGGAGCACCACAACGGGUGGAGCCUGCGGUUUAAUUGGACUCAACGCCGGGAAGCUCACCGGAUAAGACAGCGGAAUGAUUGCCGGGCUGAAGACUCUGCAUGACCAGCUG
rnacentral:rRNA from 1 species